rnacentral:misc_RNA from 1 species
GAAAAACUUUAACCUGCAAAUUUGACAACUGUCACAAAUCAAUGUUUAUUUGAUAAUUAAUAAAUAGAAUGAAUUAAAAUAAGUAAAAUAACAGCGACCCAAUCAUGGUAAUGGAAUCAAAAACAACUAGCAAGACUAGUUGCCUUAAAGCACUAUUAUUAAGGGCUUGGAGAGAAAGAUGGACAGAUCUACAAUGGGGCAUCAACAUCAAAACAGUCCUGCCUAGAGGAGUUAGCGGAGAUGUGUAUAAUCUGGCUGAUUGUAUCCUUCAACAAGCCGUUGUAGGCGCUGGGGCCAACCAGUUAGUGUUGAGUUAUUUGAGACAUUCUUUGAGUGCCCAGCUUGUUUCGCAUGCAGCUGUUCUUCAAAGAUUGAGCAAGUAUAGUCAGAUGAGCAAGGUUCAUUGUGUUUUUAGCCUUCUGGAAUUCUUUGAAGGAAUGCUUCCAGGCAUUACUGUCAGUUGUGGAAAGCCCGAAGAGACUGUAUUAGCUACAGCUGUCUUGUCAGUGGCCCUGUGGUUACUGAAUAUAUUGCAGCACUGCCAAACUAACACAAAAAUUAUACAAAAGACUUCAGAACUGUUGAAAAUUCUAUUGACUGACGAUUUUUAUAUAUCCAUGAUGUGUCUUGCAAGGUGUAAUGACCCAGAUCUCUUCACAGAAGCAAGUAGCAAAUGUUUAGAACUAGAAUCAAUUUUAGGCGAAGAAGACGAGAUUCUUCCGUUUGUAAGAAAAUUAUCGAAUAUGGAUGUUAAUAUCUUGCAAUUACCUAUAAAAAGCGAGAACUGGCCAGGUUCUCUAAUCCAGUGUUGGCUGCAAGUAAAACUAACAGGAAAUCCUGGGACUCCAACAUCAGCAUUAGCGCAACAGCUGAGGAUUUUUAAGAAACUGAAGGGUUUCAGCCAUGCUAGAUUAUAUGCGGAAUUGAUGAGGGGUAGUUUGAUGUCUCUGUAUAACGCAAAGCAAACCUCGCAUGAAAGCCAAUGGAGUGCAUUUGCCUUCCUUAAAGUGCCCCACAUUCUUUUGGAACUAGCAGGGACUUCAGACAGCGCUAGCAUUGUAUCCGCUUUAGAACUGAUGCUGCAACACAGCCCUUUGCUAGAUGCCAUGGAUGCCAAUAGCUCUUGUUCUAGUUUUGAAUGUUUGUUAAAUGAGCUGUCAAAAAAUAAGUUACUGUCAGAGACGCAGGUUAAAAUGUUUUUGGAAAAGAGGAAAACACCGCCAUCGUUAAAGAUAGAUUCAGUUCCUGGUAAUAACAUGUCUACUUAUUGGCAUAUCUGUGCUGAGAGUACUUUAACUGGGAUUUUGAAAACAUUGUCUUCCGACUAUCAAAAAAUUCAGGACGCUCUUUUAAAAAUGCUCCAUCAAGUCCUAGCCGGCAACAGUUUUGAACUCAUACUUGCUGUAGCUACAGUCCAGGACAAGUUGGGUACUCUAGUGAAUCGACUGAUCAAAUUUAACGAAUGCUCCAAGUCAGCUGGCGAAUCAAAAUCUCAGCUGUUUGAUAUAACCUUCGUAAUGUUGGUGACUAUAGUACAAAAUUAUGGAGCUUCAGCUGUGCUGGACUCGGAUGGAGAUUCACUGUUUGAGCAAUGGGUGAAGUCAUGUAUGGUGGAGAGGAAUAAGCCUAAAGCUGCGGAUCAAAUUCUUAGACUAGGUGAUCCUGUAAUCAUCCAAUCACUAUUGGAACAGUUCAACUCCGGAGAAUCCGAGUUCAAACCCGGCAUCAAAUGGCAGGAACUACUGUUUAACAUACCUGGUGUAAUGCAUGAAGUUCUUGUAGCGUGGGAGCAAGGUACUCUCGUUCCUCAAGACGUGAAACGCAUCCUAGAUGCAGUUAGAGGAAAAAUGUGCUGUUUACCUAUAGUUGCAGCUGCGUGGCUGUGUGCUUAUAUGAGAACGGCUCCACAAGAUACCUUACUCAAACCUAUAAAUAUGGUUCAGCAGCUUUUAAACACGCCAGGUUCAGAAGAGGAUAACUUCAAUGACAGGUGGCAGCUCACUUGUGAAAUUAUCAGGAAAAUGCAGCGGGACGUUCAGCUUCCUUUGCCCCAAAAGAGCGGUCAUUAUUUGGUGUCUAGGAAGCCUGCAACGGAACAAUUGGGAGAGGCUUGGAAACUUGGUAUUGUUCGAGGUUGGUUGGAUCAUAACUCGGCAAGAACUCUCCACUGUCUUCUGGAAACCGCUGGUACGAGAUGGUUGGUGUCUGCCGUCAUUCAAGAACUGGUGAAACUCAGGUACCGAGACCAACUUCAAAGAGGCAUCGACUUGGCUUUGGCUAUGUUCCAUGUUGACAUCGUCGGCUGUACUCGGCAACUUUUAUCCCACGUGUUGCCUCAGUUGUUAUACAACGAUAUACAAGCAGAUGGUCUGAUGGAACCUCAACUUCCAGCCUUAGCUUAUGUUACGAGUUACUGUGUGUUUACUGCAUGGGAUGCGCUGCAAUCUAUGGAGGACGUCGAUACAGACCCUCCAGUCGCCAAAAUGAGCCGCCUCUCCGACACGAAAGAAGAAGAAGCCAAGCCUUUGGAGCAGCUCCUCACCGCUCUUCGCCAACUGCUCUACAUGUUCGAAGGAGUCAUCCAAGAAGGCUCCAUUACCCAGCAAACCUAUUUCGCGUUCUACCUCAUCAAAUCCUUAGUCGAAGUCAAAGUACCAACUGCUAGUGCUGUAUUGGCUGCUAUUCCCUCAUCUCUAAUAUCGGAUUUGCUCAAAACGAUGCCUGAUCUGUUCAGUUAUCCGCUUCUGUUACAUAUUCAUGAUGUUACAAGUACAGCUGGAAGGAUCAAUAUGGCGAAGGAUUUGUGUAUAUUGAGGAACUAUUAUUUGAAGAAUGCUAAAGAUGUUGCUACACGAUAGGUAUGUCAUCUGAGUCGUUAUGGAUUGUAUAUUAAAACGAAAGAGGUGUAUUUUUGCUUCCUUGGGAAUAUGACUAGCUUGCAUCGUCAAUCUUCCUAGUGUUACUUGAUUUCUUGUUUGAGUGAUAAGUUCUUUUGUUAGAUUACAGUUGGAUCAUACCCAACAUAUUACGUCGUUGAAUCCAAGUCCUCGAAAUCGUAGCAUCAAGUCUCUUUGCAGGCUCUGGAUAGAUAGCUUCAAUGAGGUUGCUUUUGGUUUAUUCCACUGCGACCUUUUCAGAUCUAUCGUGGUCCUCCAGCUCUAGAUUACAUUCUCUAGCCUGGCCCUUUUUAAAAGACUUCGAGACUGAACCUUCCACUCAACUCUUUGUCGGUAACUUUUCUUCUCUUAAUGCAAAGAACCGCUCAUUUACCAGGCCUGAUGCUGACAAAAGUGUGGUCUGUUUUUUUCUCUUUUAGGUAGCAGAAUCUGCAUAGGUCAUAUUCUGCCAAUCCUAUAAGCUUAGUGCCCUGUUACCAGAUCUACUAUGGAUUUGACUGUUUUUCUGCUUAUUAGGUCUGCCAUAAACGAAUUCGCCUGUCUUUGUCCUGGUGAAUUUCUCUGCCAUUCUACAGAUUUGUGGGCUACCCACUUUCUUAUAGCCUGUGCAACGUCGCAGAAGGGUUGCAGUCCAACGAAUGGCAUUGAUGAGCCUUGUUUGGUCAUUUCAUCUGAUUUUUCAUUGCCUCAUCUCCCAGUAUCCAGUCUACCCAUACCCAUGCUAGCUUAGAAUUGACAUCUACAGAAUUGAGUGCCUUAAGCGCUGCCUGGCUAUCUGUGAUGAUGGCAACUGAACGGUACGUUCUUUCCUGCCUUUCUAUUUCUUCCAUGCAGUGAUAGAUUGCCGUUAUCUCCGCCUGGAAAAUUGUGACAUCCUUAGAUAGACUCACCCGCAAAUAUAUCCCUUUGCUUUGUCACUACUACACCGGUUGCAUCUAAACAUUCCGUAUAUGUAUUUGGCACCUAGGAGUUUUCUAUUGGUUCCUUGCGGCACGCGGCCAUAUUUCAACCAAUACGAGGCGAGGUGCCAAACGAAUAUACGGAAUGUUAUUCGGUGCGAAAUUCAUAUGCGGAAUGUUAAAUAUUCGUAGACCAAAAAAGACGACUUUUUAUUAAAAUCAGUUAAAGAAGACUGAUAUUAAAAUAUUUUGUUAAUAUAUUAUUAAAUAAAAAUAAAACAAUUAUAUCAUAUGGAAUGUUUGGUGGUAAAUUUAUAUACGGAAUGUUAAAUAUUCGUAGAUAAAAAAAGACGACUAUUUUCGUCUGGUAGCACACAUUCCAAAGUUUCAACAUAAUUGAAUAGCUGAAACAUAUCUAAACAUACUAAAUAAUACGUGAAAGUCAUUAAAAAUUUUGCGAAAGCGAAACCUUAAUCAAAUAAGGAAAUAAUAAUAUCUCUCAAAUCUAUACCAUUCCAUUUAUGAAUUUCGCACCAAAUAACAUUCCAUAUAGGUAAUAAUUGUUUUAUUUUCUUUAAUAAUACAUUAACAAAAUAUUUUAAAAUCAGUCGUCUUUAACUGACUUGAUAAAAAGUCGUCUUUUUUUAAUCUACGAAUAUUUAACAUUCCACAUAUGAAUUUCGCACCAAAUAACAUUCCAAAUCUUCUUUUAACUGACUCAAUAAAAAGUUGUCUUUUUCGGUCUACGAAUAUUUAACAUUCCGUAUAUGAAUUUCGCACCGAAUAACAUUCCGUAUACGCGUUUGGCACCUCGCCGCCUAUUGAUUGAAAUAUGACCGCGUGCUGCAAAGAACCAAUAGAAAAGUCGUAGGUGCCAAAUACAUAUACGGAAUGUUUAGAUGCACAGCUGUUCCUACACCCUCUGAUGUUUUUGAGCCAUCAGUAUAACAGGUAGCUUCUGCUUGUAUGAGUACACCUUCCUUCUAGUCUUCUCUGCCUGGUAUAUUUUGAAUUUAUUGUCAAAGUUAUAUGUCAUAGCUGCUGCAUCGAUGGGUUGUCCCCAACGAACUGUCAACACUGGUGGAAUCUACAUGAAGCGAACUUAAUGACGCCAGGAUGAGAUAGAAGAUAAUCAGGUAAAGGAGGGAAGAUAAUCGCCAUCUUUCGUAAACAAACAAAUUGACAGUGUUAGUCAGGUACGUCAGGGUUGCCAGAUUGGGGUAUUUUCCCACAAUUUUGGGGUAAUUUGCAAGCGUAUAGGGGAACUUCUCUAAGCACAAAUGGUUGGGAGAUUUUUUGGGGUAAAAAUUAUGGAAGAUUUUAAGGGGUCAUGGGAAAUUAAAUUUGCGAAUGUACACAUAGAACUGUAUAUUAUACUCUCAUAUAAUCGAAGAAGAUAGGACCUAUGAAUUAUUUCCAGAGCUCUUUGUUGAUAAGUAGUAUAAUUUUUGUUUACUCUUCUCUACAUUUGACUACUAAUUUAUUAAAAUGCGGCAAAAAUUUAAAUUUGGAUGAUUUGAGAGAAUUUCAGUUUCUAAGUGGGGGUUUUAUAAAAUCACAUCUGGCAACUCUGGUGGUAGUUAUAGCAAAUUUUACCUGACAAAUUCUCUGUCUCUCUAGAACCUCUCUCUUGUAUGUUGGCGCCAAUCUCGCUUCACUGUUGGAAUGGGACGGGGUCAUUCCAUCAGUGUUAACAGUUCGUUGGUUGUCCCACUACAUUAUCUCCUUUUAGCUCCUCAAUUUGCUUUCUAUUGUCAGCACUCUGUUAUGGCGUAUAUGUUGUUGACCAUGUAUUAAUCUUUGCAUCACUGAUCUGGCUUCGCCCUGUAUACAGAUAUAUGAAGUGGUGGUAGACUCAGCAGGACUCCAACCCCGAUGUACUAGAUAUAGUGCAAACACUCCUGACCACGGCGCAGUAGACGAAAUUUGGUUUAGUCCCCACUUCCAUGCGAAACGCACGGUAUCUACAAUAGAAUUUUUCUGCCUUUCCGUGAAUUUUGACAUUUUGACUCCGCCUUCGCGCAGCUCCAUGGUCAGGAGUGUUUGCACUAUUUCUACUGACCCAUAGGUUAUCAUUGGUUUUGUAUUAUCGUAGGAUAAUUUUGGUGUUGAGCCCCCAAUUCUUACCGCACAUUCUUCUACAUCUGCCCAAUGACAUAGUCGAUUUCUAUGUGGUUUUCAGUAUGUGAGGAUUCCUUGUAAGCCUAUGAUAAAAAUAUACCCCUAGAUAUUUUGUUUAUUUGGUAAAUGAACUCUCUGUUCCUCCCAACACCGGUGGUUUUAGGCUUUGUAAUGCUCUCUUUUUUAUGAAGUUGAAGAUUUGUGUUUUUUGAGCUUUGAUUGUCUUGUUUACGCCAGUUAUCAACUACACUAAGCAUCAAAAUUAACGAACCACCUUAAAAAUGGGAAAUUUUUGAUGUCUCGUAUUUCCUAAACCUGUUGUCCGAUUUGAGUAAUUUUUUUGUAUAUUAUAGCUUUAUUCUUCAAGAAUAUCGAUUUAAUAAUAUUAUUGCUAAACAGGUUAGUGUCAUUGUAUACCGGGUGUAACAAAGAUAGUGUGUUUUUUUCUCAGAGUUUGGAACACCCUGUGGAAUAUUCUAGCGUAUAUAAAAUAUUGAAAUUAAAAUUCAGCUGUAGCCUUAUGCUUUCUUAACAUUUUGCUUUUCGAUUCAUUCGCUUAUGUUGGAUAAUAAAAAAGUUAGGUACUUUAACCCUUAUCCGGGCAACACAUUUUACUUACAUAACCGGGCAACCCGGGUCCAUUGGGCCCACCACUGUUCUUGAAUGUACUAUUCAUAUUUACCCAUAUAUUUUUCUAAUAUUCUUUUUUGAUUUUUUAUUAAAGUUAAAUUUAAAUUGUCUAGAUUAAAAAAAGGUGCUACUAUAGUAUGCGGUCUACCUCGAGGGUGCUUACACUUAUCUGGCUUUGAAUAUACUGACUUGAAAGGACACCUACCUGGAUACGGAACAACUUGCUCAUCUACCGUUAUGUUUUUUUCUGGUAAAUAGUGUAUUUCUGAAAGAUUUGGUUGACUUGAUUCCACACAUCGCGUAUUGCUGCUAAUUUGUCGUUCCUUCUUCGUUCAGACCUCGUGCCCUUAUCGUCAAAUCGAACAAAUCUUAGCAAAUUUUUGAAUCGUUUUAACCCCAUGGUAGCUUUAAAUAUAGUGGGUCCAUAAAGCUUACUCCAAAGUAUAUCUACAUUAUGGAUGUUGGCACUCAGGUGCCCCGCUGUUAGUAGUAGUCUAAUAAAGGCAUAUAGCUCUGUAGAGUCGCAAUAUUUCCAGUUCCCUACCCCCAGGACUUUUUCGGCUUCUUUAUUUAUACACUUCACUAUUUAGUUCACAAUUUUUUCGUCCAAAAAAAAACAAAAGAAAUCAACAGGAUCAUCUACAUUUUGACCAGGGGCUAACAUUACUUUGUGCACUUUGCUUUUUAUUAUGUCGCAGGAUCGCAUACGUCCUCGCAUACUUCCAGUUAAUUCCAUCCUUAGUUUCAAAAAUUACACACUCUUAAAUCUGGGAACUUGUAGCUACACAUUCUUCUUCAUUAUCAGUCAAUACUACUUGCUGAUCAUCCUCUUCACUUGCUUCCGAAAGAUGAUCUUCAAUUUCAGAGUCACUUUCAAUGCCGCCUACUUCAGGAGAUUAUUCAUCAUCGGAGUCCCAUAAAUUAUUAGCAAUAUCUUGCAGUUCUGCAGCUGAUAAUGGAUUUCGGGACAUUUUAUUCGCACUAUGUACUUUCACUGUAAUUCAAUAUAAUUUUAAGAGCUUAGUUGUAGGCACUAACAUCGAUAUCAAACGACUGAUAGCAGAUGCAUUAUUCAUUUCAAAAUAUGUAUAGGUACCUACCUAACAAUAUUAUUGCAUUCCAACAAUGAUUAUCAGUUUUUAAAAUUCAUUUAUGAUGAUUUAAAAUUCAUUAACAAUGAUUACAUUGUUUGUUACACGUUUAGACUUUAUUAUUGGAUUUCCGGAAUCGUAAAAGUCGUUUAGAUAAUCCACAAAAACAUUACCUGACUGCCAGAUUAACUGCUGUAACAAAGAUUUAGACUUUAGGUAUAAAUGCAAAUAGGGUCCGAUGGGCCCGUGUUGCCCCUUUACUUGACAAAAUACUUUCGACCCAAUAAUUUCACAAAUGAUAAUGAAUAUUUUGAAUAGCUCAUGACUAUGUUUAAGUAAACAUACUUCUAAACAAAUUCAGUGAUGCAUAAAAUUCAAUAAAAAAAUUUUUAUCAGUUUAUGAUAAAAGAGUUUGCGUCUCGGGCCCGUUGGACCCACCUUACCCGGAUAAGGGUUAACAACUAGCAACGUUCUUCAUCAAUACAGGGUGCUUCUAAAUAAGUGCGGCAAACUUUAAGGGGUAAUUCUGCAUGAAAAAAUAAUGACCAUUUGCUUUAUAAACAUAUGUCCGCAAAUGCUUCGUUCCCGAGAUACAGGAUGCUGAAUUUUUUCGUACAAACUGACGAUUUAUUUAUUGCUCUAAAACCGGUUGAGAUAUGGAAAUAAAAUUUAGUAGGUUUUAAGAGGUAGUUAUUGCGCAUUUUUUGACAUACAAUUAAGAAUUUUAUAUUCACCAUUGGCGUGCAUACGGGUUAUAUUACCCG